AACGAACGCUGGCGGCAUGCCUAACACAUGCAAGUCGAACGAGACCUUCGGGUCUAGUGGCGCACGGGUGCGUAACGCGUGGGAACCUGCCCUUAGGUUCGGAAUAACUCCCCGAAAGGGGUGCUAAUACCGGAUAAUGUCUUCGGACCAAAGAUUUAUCGCCUUUGGAUGGGCCCGCGUUGGAUUAGCUAGUUGGUAGGGUAAAAGCCUACCAAGGCGACGAUCCAUAGCUGGCUGAGAGGAUGAUCAGCCACACUGGGACUGAGACACGGCCCAGACUCCUACGGGAGGCAGCAGUGGGGAAUAUUGGACAAUGGGCGAAAGCCUGAUCCAGCAAUGCCGCGUGAGUGAUGAAGGCCUUAGGGUUGUAAAGCUCUUUUACCCGGGAUGAUAAUGACAGUACCGGGAGAAUAAGCUCCGGCUAACUCCGUG
rnacentral:rRNA from 1 species